GACGAACGCUGGCGGCGUGCUUAACACAUGCAAGUCGAACGGAAAGGCCCUGCUUGCCGGGUACUCGAGUGGCGAACGGGUGAGUAACACGUGGGUGAUCUGCCCUGCACUUCGGGAUAAGCCUGGGAAACUGGGUCUAAUACCGGAUAGGAGCCAUUUUUAGUGUGAUGGUUGGAAAGCUUUUUCGGUGUAGGAUGAGCUCGCGGCCUAUCAGCUUGUUGGUGGGGUAAUGGCCUACCAAGGCGGCGACGGGUAGCCGGCCUGAGAGGGUGGACGGCCACAUUGGGACUGAGAUACGGCCCAGACUCCUACGGGAGGCAGCAGUGGGGAAUAUUGCACAAUGGGCGCAAGCCUGAUGCAGCGACGCCGCGUGGGGGAUGACGGCCUUCGGGUUGUAAACUCCUUUCGCUAGGGACGAAGCUUUUUGUGACGGUACCUAGAUAAGAAGCACCGGCUAACUACGUG
rnacentral:rRNA from 1 species